rnacentral:rRNA from 1 species
GCAAGUCGUGCGAGAAAGGGGGGGCAACUCCCCGAGUACAGCGGCGAACGGGUGAGUAACACGUAGGUAACCUACCCUUGAGCCCGGGAUAACCUACCGAAAGGUGGGCUAAUACUGGAUAUGACCACGGGAGCUUCGGCUCCUGCGGUGAAAGGUGGCCUCUGCUUGCAAGCUACCACUCGAGGAUGGGCCUGCGGGCCAUUAGCUAGUUGGCGGGGUAACGGCCCACCAAGGCGAUGAUGGCUAGCUGGUCUGAGAGGAUGGCCAGCCACACUGGGACUGAAACACGGCCCAGACUCCUACGGGAGGCAGCAGUGGGGGAUCUUGCGCAAUGGGCGAAAGCCUGACGCAGCGACGCCGCGUGGGUGAUGAAGGCCUUCGGGUCGUAAAGCCCUGUCGAGGGGGACGAAACGGUGCCGACCCAAUACGUCGGUGCCCUGACGGUACCCCUAAAGGAAGCACCGGCUAACUCCGUGCCAGCAGCCGCGGUAAUACGGAGGGUGCGAGCGUUGUUCGGAAUCACUGGGCGUAAAGGGCGUGUAGGCGGUCCGCUAAGUCUGGUGUGAAAGCCCGGGGCUCACCCCCGGAAGGGCACUGGAAACUGGUGGACUCGAGUCCCGGAGAGGAGGGUGGAAUUCCCGGUGUAGCGGUGAAAUGCGUAGAUAUCGGGAGGAACACCGGUGGCGAAGGCGGCCCUCUGGACGGUGACUGACGCUGAGACGCGAAAGCGUGGGGAGCAAACAGGAUUAGAUACCCUGUAGUCCACGCUGUAAACGAUGAGCACUAGUGUCGCGGGUAUUGACCCCUGCGGUGCCGCAGCUAACGCACUAAGUGCUCCGCCUGGGGACUACGGCCGCAAGGUUAAAACUCAAAGGAAUGACGGGGGCCCGCACAAGCGG